rnacentral:rRNA from 1 species
UACGUAGGGUGCGAGCGUUGUCCGGAAUUAUUGGGCGUAAAGAGCUUGUAGGUGGCUCGUUGCGUCGGGAGUGAAAACCUGCGGCUUAACCGCAGGCCUGCUUCCGAUACGGGCGAGCUAGAGUUCGGCAGGGGAGACUGGAAUUCCUGGUGUAGCGGUGGAAUGCGCAGAUAUCAGGAGGAACACCGGUGGCGAAGGCGGGUCUCUGGGCCGAUACUGACACUGAGAAGCGAAAGCGUGGGGGGCGAACAGG